CCUACGGGAGGUAGCAGUGGGGAAUAUUGCACAAUGGGGGAAACCCUGAUGCAGCGACGCCGCGUGAGUGAAGAAGUAAUUCGUUACGUAAAGCUCUAUCAGCAGGGAAGAAACACUGACCUUACGGUCAGCAGACGGUACCUGAGUAAGACGCCCCGGCUAACUACGUGCCAGCAGCCGCGGUAAUACGUAGGGGGCAAGCGUUAUCCGGAUUUACUGGGUGUAACGGGAGCGUAGACGGUGCGGCAAGUAUGGAGUGAAAUGCCGGAGCUUAACUGCGGAACUGCUGUGGAAACUGGAGAGCUAGAGUGCGGGAGGGGUAAGCGGAAUUCCUAGUGUAGCGGUGAAAUGCGUAGAUAUUAGGAGGAACACCAGUGGCGAAGGCGGCUUACUGGACCGUAACUGACGUUGAGGCUCGAAAGCGUGGGGAGCAAACAGGAUUAGAUACCCUAGUAGUC
rnacentral:rRNA from 1 species